rnacentral:rRNA from 1 species
AGAGUUUGAUCAUGGCUCAGAUUGAACGCUGGCGGAAUGCUUUACACAUGCAAGUCGAACGGCAGCAUAGGUGCUUGCACCUGAUGGCGAGUGGCGAACGGGUGAGUAAUACAUCGGAACGUGCCCAGUCGUGGGGGAUAACGUAGCGAAAGUUACGCUAAUACCGCAUACGAUCUACGGAUGAAAGCGGGGGACCGUAAGGCCUCGCGCGAUUGGAGCGGCCGAUGUUAGAUUAGGUAGUUGGUGGGGUAAAGGCUCACCAAGCCGACGAUCUAUAGCUGGUCUGAGAGGAUGAUCAGCCACACUGGGACUGAGACACGGCCCAGACUCCUACGGGAGGCAGCAGUGGGGAAUUUUGGACAAUGGGCGCAAGCCUGAUCCAGCCAUUCCGCGUGCAGGACGAAGGCCUUCGGGUUGUAAACUGCUUUUGUACAGAACGAAAAGCUCUGAGUUAAUACCUCGGGGUCAUGACGGUACUGUAAGAAUAAGCACCGGCUAACUACGUGCCAGCAGCCGCGGUAAU